UGCAAAAAACCAAACUAAAAAAACAAAAAACUACAUCUACUACAUUUUUUUUUUAUCAACAAUGCAAAAAUGUUAUUAAAGGAUUGAAAAAGAAAUCUGAGAACUAAUCUCUAGUCAAUAGGCUAACCCAAAACACCCACCCUAACUCCUGAUUGAUAAGAAAACCCAAACCAAGAAUAAAAAAACUGCAGAAAAACCAAAGACAAAAGACACAAAAAUAAAAAAUUGCCGACAGCUGCAAAAACUUCUCUUAAGGUAAGAGAUGGCCGACAGCUGCAAAAACUUCUCUUAAGGUAAGAGAAUGAAACUUACAGUAACAACAAAACACACCAAGAAAAAACACAAUAAGAAAGCAAACCCAAAGCUUAGAAGCAGACUUGAGACUAAGCAUCAGCACAACUGGCACGAAAUACAGACCGCAACAAAAUUAAAUCCAUGCUAAGAACGGAUACGCAACAACCAGUCCUUUUUUCGCUAGACUGUCAGCAAAGUAAUUCCCAUUUCUCUGGACGAAAACAAACUGAACCUCCUUAAGUUGAUCCACGAUAUAAUCAAACUUGUUAAAUUUUUCCCACAAUAUCCAAGUUCUAUUAUGUUUUUGCAAAAUCCAACAUAAUGCAUUUUUGGAAUCAGAUUCCACGAUUGCACAUACCCUAAAAGCCGACUGCCAAUAAAAU
rnacentral:lncRNA from 1 species